rnacentral:rRNA from 1 species
UCCGUAAGGGUGACUGCGGAAGGAUCAUUACCUAGAGUUUGUAGACUUCGGUCUGCUACCUCUUACCCAUGUCUUUUGAGUACCUUCGUUUCCUCGGCGGGUCCGCCCGCCGAUUGGACAACAUUCAAACCCUUUGCAGUUGCAAUCAGCGUCUGAAAAAACAUAAUAGUUACAACUUUCAACAACGGAUCUCUUGGUUCUGGCAUCGAUGAAGAACGCAGCGAAAUGCGAUAAGUAGUGUGAAUUGCAGAAUUCAGUGAAUCAUCGAAUCUUUGAACGCACAUUGCGCCCCUUGGUAUUCCAUGGGGCAUGCCUGUUCGAGCGUCAUUUGUACCUUCAAGCUCUGCUUGGUGUUGGGUGUUUGUCUCGCCUCUGCGUGUAGACUCGCCUUAAAACAAUUGGCAGCCGGCGUAUUGAUUUCGGAGCGCAGUACAUCUCGCGCUUUGCACUCAUAACGACGACGUCCAAAAGUACAUUUUUACACUCUUGACCUCGGAUCAGGUAGGGAUACCCGCUGAACUUAAGCAUAUCAAUAAGCCGGAGGA